GCCUGGGUGGCUCAGUCGGUUGAGUGUCUGACUUCGGCUCAGGUCACGAUCUCGCGGUCCGUGAGUUCGAGCCCCGCGACAGGCU
rnacentral:tRNA from 1 species